GAUGAACGCUGGCGGCGUGCUUAACACAUGCAAGUCGAACGAGAAAUGGAGACGGAACCCUUCGGGCGGAAGGCUUCAUUUCGAGUGGCGGACGGGUGAGUAACGCGUGGGUAACCUGCCUCAUACAGGGGGAUAACAGUUGGAAACGACUGUUAAUACCGCAUAAGACCACAGCACCGCAUGGUGCGGGGGUAAAAACUCCGGUGGUAUGAGAUGGACCCGCGUUCGAUUAGCCAGUUGGCGGGGUAACGGCCCACCAAAGCGACGAUCGAUAGCCGAUCUGAGAGGAUGACCGGCCACAUUGGGACUGAGACACGGCCCAAACUCCUACGGGAGGCAGCAGUGGGGAAUAUUGCACAAUGGGGGAAACCCUGAUGCAGCGACGCCGCGUGAGUGAAGAAGUACUUCGGUAUGUAAAGCUCUAUCAGCUGGGAAGAAAAUGACGGUACCUGAGUAAGAAGCCCCGGCUAACUACGUG
rnacentral:rRNA from 1 species